CUCCUAUUGCACAGCCCCCUUUGCACACAAAGUUACAAUUCCCAGAGUUCCCUGGGAAGAGGGUUUGGCUGUUCAACUGCUCUGGGAACCAACCAUAGCUUUGUGAGGGAUCUCCUAACAACUCUCAUCAUCCUCAACAAACCACAGCUCCCAUAAUUCCUGGAGAGAAGCCAUGGCCAUUAAAAGUAGUAUCAUGGCAAACCUCGGACAGAAAAAUUGUUCUUUGCUUUUGAUCUACAGCUUUAUGGAUAAUAGACCUGGAUUCCCAUUCAAACAAGAGUUAAAACUUCUAG